rnacentral:rRNA from 1 species
AUUGAACGCUGGCGGCAGGCUUAACACAUGCAAGUCGAGCGGGGUGAUGGUGCUUGCACUAUCACUUAGCGGCGGACGGGUGAGUAAUGCUUAGGAAUCUGCCUAUUAGUGGGGGACAACACCUCGAAAGGGAUGCUAAUACCGCAUACGUCCUACGGGAGAAAGCAGGGGAUCACUUGUGACCUUGCGCUAAUAGAUGAGCCUAAGUCGGAUUAGCUAGUUGGUGGGGUAAAGGCCUACCAAGGCGACGACCUGUAGCGGGUCUGAGAGGAUGAUCCGCCACACUGGGACUGAGACACGGCCCAGACUCCUACGGGAGGCAGCAGUGGGGAAUAUUGGACAAUGGGGGGAACCCUGAUCCAGCCAUGCCGCGUGUGUGAAGAAGGCCUUAUGGUUGUAAAGCACUUUAAGCGAGGAGGAGGCUCUUUUGGUUAAUACCCAAGAUGAGUGGACGUUGCUCGCAGAAUAAGCACCGGCUAACUCUGUGCCAGCAGCCGCAGUAA